rnacentral:rRNA from 1 species
AUUGAACGCUGGCGGCAGGCCUAACACAUGCAAGUCGAACGAGUGGCGGACGGGUGAGUAAUGACUGGGAAACUGCCUGAUGGAGGGGGAUAACUACUGGAAACGAUAGCUAAUACCGCAUAGCAUAGGCUGUGCCGAGAUGGGAUGAGCUUGGGGGUGGGGUAACGGCUCACCACGGCGACGAUCCCUAGCUGGUCUGAGAGGAUGACCAGCCACACUGGAACUGAGACACGGUCCAGACUCCUACGGGAGGCAGCAGUGGGGAAUAUUGGACAAUGGGCGCAAGCCUGAUGCAGCCAUGCCGCGUGUAUGAAGAAGGUCUUCGGGUUGUAAAGUACUUUCAGCGGGGAGGCGUUACCCGCAGAAGAAGCACCGGCUAACUCCGUGCCAGCAGCCGCGGUAAUUC